rnacentral:tRNA from 2 species
AAGGCUUUAGCUUAAUUAAAGCACCUGCUUUGCAUGCAGGAGAUGUGGGUUAAUGUCUUGCAAGUCUUA